GAUGAACGCUAGCGGGAGGCCUAACACAUGCAAGCCGAGCGGUAUUGUUUCUUCGGAACUGUGAGAGCGGCGUACGGGUGCGUAACACGUGUGCAACCUGCCUUUAUCUGGGGGAUAGCCUUUCGAAAGGAAGACUAAUACUCCAUAAUAUAUUGAACGGCAUCGUUUAAUAUUGAAAGCUCCGGCGGAUAGUGAUGGGCUCGCGCAAGAUUAGCUAGUUGGUGAGGUAACGGCUCACCAAGGCGAUGACCUUUAGGGGGACUGAGAGGGUGAUCCCCCACACUGGGACAGAGACACGGACCAGACUCCUACGGGAGGCAGCGGUGAGGAAUAUUGGUCGAUGGGUGCAAGCCUGAACCAGCCAUCCCGCGUGAAGGACGACUGCCCUAUGGAUUGUAGACUUCUUUUGUGUAGGGAUAAACCUACCGUCGAGAGGGUAGCUGAAGGUACUAUACGAAUAAGCACCGGCUAACUCCGUG
rnacentral:rRNA from 1 species